GGUGAAUGGUCCAAAAGCGCGGGUUGGUGGCGGGGUCGUCACUGAUCGGCUGCACCUGCAGCAAAUUUGUUUUCGGCUGAUGAGCCAAAAGCCUGGAAGACAACAAGCACGGAGGAACACAGAACGUUAGUUCAGCGCCUGUUAGCGACACCCAUCCAACGCCCAAGCUCACCCAGUGGUACUCCAAAGGAAGUGAGACUCACUGCAUACACGAGCCUACCUCCCCCUCCCUUACUCAUCCAGUCAGCAGUCAGAACGCAAUCUAGAUGCAUUCACGGACUUGUGGUGAGUUGGAUAUUUCGCAUUCAUUUCGAAAAUGCAGAUUUCCCCUAUUCUGGUGUUUAAAAUAAGCCACCGUGCUGAGCGAAGGGAGCCGCAACAAGGAAGCUGAAGAUCUGCACGCGGCUCCGGAGCCACGGAUUGCCGACCCCUGAUCUAGAUGGAGCCACGCAGUUGAGCAGUAAGAGUCCGUGAAGGCAUCGUCACGCAGCUAGAGGACGUCCAAAUGUUGUCGAAUAAGGUUCGGAGGAAGUAGUGACACCUAAGUACACGCCCGCACUAGCCAGAUGGUCAGCACCCGGCAGCAGAGAAGGCGGGUUUGAAGUAUUUUUUUUGUUGAUUAUUAUUAUUGUUAAUAGUUAUU